UAGGGAAUAUUAGUAAUGGGCGAAAGCCUGAACUAGCAACGCCGCGUGUGCGAAGAAGGCCUUCGGGUUGUAAAGCACUUUUUGAGAGGAUGAGGAAGGACGGUACUCUCAGAAUAAGUCUCGGCUAACUACGUGCCAGCAGCCGCGGUAACACGUAGGAGGCAAACGUUAUCCGGAUUUACUGGGCGUAAAGCGCGUGUAGGUGGUUUGGUAAGUAGGGCGUGAAAGCUCCUGGCUCAACUGGGAGAGGCCGUUCUAAACUGCCGAACUAGAGGAUGGUAGAGGGAGGUGGAAUUCCGGGUGUAGCGGUGGAAUGCGCGGAUAUCCGGAGGAACACCAGUGGCGAAAGCGGCCUCCUGGACCAUUCCUGACACUCAUACGCGAAAGCUAGGGUAGCAAACGG
rnacentral:rRNA from 1 species